CAGUAGCCGCGGUAAUACGAAGGGUGCAAGCGUUACUCGGAAUUACUGGGCGUAAAGCGUGCGUAGGUGGUGGUUUAAGUCCGUUGUGAAAGCCCUGGGCUCAACCUGGGAAUUGCAGUGGAUACUGGGUCACUAGAGUGUGGUAGAGGAUAGUGGAAUUUCUGGUGUAGCAGUGAAAUGCGUAGAGAUCGGAAGGAACAUCUGUGGCGAAGGCGACUAUCUGGGCCAACACUGACACUGAGGCACGAAAGCGUGGGGAGCAAACAGGAUUAGAUACCCGCGUAGUCCCUGUCUCUUAUAC
rnacentral:rRNA from 1 species